GUGUUAUUAACACACCCUUGGCCUAUCCGCAGUGUUAGCCGUCCUUUUGACUCCAUUAGCUUUUGUGAGUGCGAAAUAUAUGUAUUUAUCCUUAGUAAUAAAGAGUAGGUAAAAGAGGUACUUUGGCGCUAAUCUCUAAUUGUGUGCAUUGAGCUGUUAAUAAGCCGUAACUGGACUAAUUAACAUUUAAAAAGACUUCGCCUCGCCAGGAAAUGAUCAAAAGAACAUUUCUAAUACAUGUUUAUGGAUGCUAACAACCUCUAAGAUGUGCGAAUAACUGGUGCUUACAUCUCUUGAUGCGGAACCUUAAAAAAUUACAAGCUAAAGGGCCCACUACAAGAAAGUAUUGAGUCUGGAACUGAUUACCCCCUCCCCCCAAAGGGUUCUUUUGGAUCAGCCAACUGAGGAGAAGGUAGAACAUCACUACGAGCCCGAUAACUCCAUACUAGCUGGUGGAUGGUAUAAUUUUUGUUACGGUAUCCGAUGCUUUGUGUUCUCUGAGCCCACGAGGGGAAACACACACUUCUUCCGAUUGUGCCAUAGGGUGCCUCUCAUCUCUGAAGAGGCACAGUAUCCAAGGAAACAGGGCAGCGGCGACAUCUACGCCACCGAGAACAUAAAACGACGGAAUGUAGGAGCCAAACUUGUCUGCUAUUAGACCUGGAAUCGCAAUCAUAUAUCAUUAUCACACACAUCACAAGCACACGUCCAUCAGUAAAGAGGACCCUUUCGAAGGGUGUCACCCAUGCUAUGUCCAACACUUUCCCAGUGAUGGCUCGCCACUGCAGAUGUGACUUCGAUAUAGGUGAAAAGCCAGGACGCCUUGUAGCCUGGGGCGAGCAUGGCACCCCCCUCCCCCCCCCCCUCCUAAUUUCAUAGAUUGUCUUUAAAAUAUUAAGAGAUAAAAGAAAAUCCAUGAAAGAACAAUAAAUCAUCCCCCUGAAAUCCUUACUUUGCCCAACCCUUCCCAACCCCAACCCUUCCCAACCCUCCAUUCCUGACGGGUAAAGAUGCUCUAAAAUAUCUUGACGUAGUGUCUUAUCAAUGAGCUUAAUGACUUACCGCAAAUUGGAGGGCCAAUUAGAAUAGCAACUGAGCAUGUCAUGAACCCCAUCCCCAUACCCAUAGCACUCUUGCUAGGUGCAACACUAGUCUGGAAGAAUACAGCUUGUGUUGUUACAAAAAUACCAUUUCCGACACCGUAAAACACUGCAAACACCACAAAGUGAGUGUACUCAGUAGCUGAUCCGAGAGCUAUGAUAGACACGCCCAUCAG